rnacentral:misc_RNA from 1 species
GACCCCCCUUUUUUUUUUCUUCCUCUGUUUCUACAUUUACCAGAAAUAAAAUCUGCCAUUAGGCCUUGGGUCAAAAUCAGUUUUGGUCAGAUAUGCAUUGUUUUCCAAACAGAACUUCAAUUGAAACAGUAAACUGAACAUUUUAGUGAAAAGAAUCUUAAAGAAUAAUGACAAGUGAUUAUUUGUCCACUUUAUCAUUUCCUUGAAAAAGAAAACCUCAUUUCCAGAAUACUUUAAAUUGGACACAUUCACAAUAAUGUGAAGGAAUAUAAACCCCAAAUACUCUCACAAUACUAGUCUGGAUCUUGCAUUGUCUUUUUGCAAACCCAAUAAACUAAUCAGUAAUCAACAACACAAAGGGAAAAAAAUAUAUUAGAGCCAAAACAAAAAGGGCUAACUUACAAGAAAUAAAUGUAGAAAUAUAGUUCCAUGGAAAUAAUGUAGUGGGAAUGACAUGACUUCUGAAAAAUCGUCAAGACCUAUUAAAAAAGAUGGGGGCUGUCAAUAUUGAAAAUGAGAUGUUCCUAAUUUCCUGUUUAAUUCCCUUAGGAGACGGCAAAGUUUACAAAUGAAUAGGAAUCUUACAAUAACUCCAGGUGGAAAGCUAGCUGUGUUCCUUCAAAGUUUCUUUCCUUCCUUGGCCUUUCUUGCAAACAGAUGGAGGAUUUGUCAAGAAAUCCCUGUCAGAAUUUUACCAAAUUUUAUCUUUCUCCUAAAGCAAAUCAAAGAGAAGAACUUUCAGCAAGUCUUAAAGCAAAAUAUACAAGACCUAGUUAUCCAAGAAAUCAUUUCAAUAUAAAUAUAUUCCAGUGAAUGAAGUUUCAGAGCAAGAAAUUCUUCAUCUGAACUUAGAAACGUUCCAGAAGGAAACAAGUUGAACUAAAAUCUCUAGCAAUGAAACAUUUCCAAUCCUCAUAUUGGCAAGAAAAUUUCAACACACAGGAGUUGUAAUAAUCACGCAGGAAAAGCUUUGGGGUAUGAGAAUGAGGCCUUGUUUCUUCCAUGCAAACAUGGAUAUGAGAAUUCUUAUAUCAAUCCCGAGAGAAUACAAAACUCAAUUUUAAGACAGAAGGAAAGCUAAUCCUGCAAAAUUUCACAGCCUCUCACUCUUAAGAUCCCUCUCCAUUAUGUAACUUCGAGUAUUUUUUUUUUCAAGUCAUAUAACCUUCCCAUGCAUAAUUUUAUCUGCAAAAUUCAUGGUGGAUAAACUCUAUACAUCAUCUUUUCCUGAUCUCUGAAUAUGACUUUUCCAGCUAUAGCCCUCAGAUUUAGCAUCCUCAUCAUUUUCCAUGCUAUCACCUCCAGUAGUAGAGGUCCCUCCAGUGUUUCCUGCCAACUGCAGGGGACCUUGAGGAGAGCCGGACUGGGAACUGGUAGCCUUCGAGGAGUCACCAUACUGAUCUUGGGACAUCCACAAACCCCCCAAAACAACAACAGAUCGGUUUGCAGGGGCAGCUGUAGCUGGUGGCAUUCUUCGUGUAUGAAGUCGGUAUUUCUGCAAUGACAAGAAAUAUUUUAGUUUUCCAUCAGUCUUAAAAAUUUCACGACUCUUAAAAUGAGGCAAAGCAAUUUAAGCAUUUUCUUCCGUGCUUCCGGUGAAUCAAACAAAAUAAAGAGAUGGAAAAUUGAAACUCACUUGCAAAUGACUCUUCACUUCGUCAUUGGUCAAGCCAUCAACUUGCAUUAGUUCUCUAAUCUGCUUUGGAGUAGCAGCUGCAAAAAUAUCAAGAAAAUUUCAAAUUAUAUCUUCAAAAAAAAAACAUAAAUAGCUUAACAGAGUUAAUAAACCCCGAAAAUCGACCAAUUUUACUUUCAGACUUCCAUCAGAUUCAUUAAUCUUUCACAUUCCAAUCUCUUAUGUCAUCUCUAUCUCCAUGGUGCUCACCAACUUAAUGCAAAAAAUUGCAAACUUUAUCACUUCAACAAACUCUUAACUUCACUUUCCAUUUUGGAAGAGCAUCCUCACAUUAAGAGACAAAAACACCAUCCAUUUUUUGCACUUUCCAUCCACCAUUCAUUACACUUUGCAAUAUCAGGAAUCUCAAUUCAAUAGACUUAGGACCAAAACCACCAUAAAUGUUUCAUUUGAAAUUAAAUUUACUAUCAUAUGCUAACCUUGAGAGCCUCCAAGUUGUUGUAGAGCAUUGACAAACCGCCGGUGCAACUCGGGGGACCAACACCUCCUCUGCUUCCUAGCAGUCUGUUGCUGAGGUGGUUGUGGACCAUUUCGUAAAUUUGAAUGAGGAUUAGGGGCAGAAGAUGAAACUGCUCUACUGCAACUGAUUCUUGAACCUGUAGAACCAGAUUCUUCCCUGAAGUUCUUGAUUCCAGGAGUUAAAAGAGAGAGACCAGGAACUGGCAAUUCCUCGCUAGUAUUAUUAUCCUCAUUCCUUGUUAAAACAGAGUAGGUCUUAAAUGGCAUAAAUGCUCUUGCUGCACUCCUGCUUUUGCAGGCCUGGAAUGUAUCCUCGUUUGCAUAUUGAUUUCCUUUCUUAGUUGUCUUAGAUUCUAGUUUGAGAUUUUGUUUUUGAUCAAAGAUGUAAUCAGUAGAGGGAUAAUCAUUAGUGUUCCAUAACUGAACGGAGCUCAUCCAAUUUUUCUUAUCUUUGGCGUCUUUUUCCGUUUUGAUUCGACCAUCUUGUUCAUCAUGACAGUUUUUCUUCAAUGGGAUGAAUUCUUCUAAAACUGGUGGAUUAUUUGAUGCCGCACAUUGUAUUGACUCUGCCUUCAAAAGUAGAAUUGCAUCAUUCAAGAGAAGCAUGCAAAGAGGGAGCUCGCGCUUAAACGCAUCGAUCUUGCUCAUUUCCUCUUCCAAUCUCUUAACAAAACCGUCAAGUUUGGAGACCUUAUCGGAAACAUCACCGAUCAUCGAAACCUCCUUGAGGAAAUCACUGAUCGUUUUGGGUACAUAAGUAGGCCUAAAAUCCAAGCUCAGAUCAUGAGGAAUUAAACCCAUUUCUUAUCCGUCUCAAAAUUUCAGAUUCUCCCUUUUCUUCCCUUUCUUUCUCUGUAUUCUGAUGUUUCGUCAAUGGAGAAUGGAAGUGUUAAAUGAAACCAGAAGAGAUGUUGAGAUCUAUAUAUAUAGAAAACAUAGAUAUGUGAUGUAGUGUGAGAGAGAAGUGUUUUCGUUUUUUCCUGAUAAAAAAAAUAAAUUAAAUUAAAUUCAGA